rnacentral:rRNA from 1 species
UACGUAGGUGACAAGCGUUGUCCGGAUUUACUGGGUGUAAAGGGCGCGUAGGCGGGAUAGCAAGUCAGCCGUGAAAUGCCGGAGCUUAACUCCGGAGCUGCGGUUGAAACUGUUAUUCUUGAGUAUCGGAGAGGAAAGCGGAAUUCCUAGUGUAGCGGUGAAAUGCGUAGAUAUUAGGAGGAACACCGGUGGCGAAGGCGGCUUUCUGGACGACAACUGACGCUGAGGCGCGAAAGUGUGGGGAG